rnacentral:rRNA from 1 species
AUGACCUGCUCACCGAGAUCCUCCUCCGCCUCCCCCCGCUGCCGUCCUCACUCCCCCGCGCCUCUGCCGUCUGCACGCGUUGGUGCCGCCUCGUCUCCGACGGUCCGACCCCAAAUUCUUCCUCCGCUUCCGCUUCCGCAACCGCCGCAACCCUCCCCUCAUCGGUUUCCUCCUCAUGAAGGAGGGCAUGUGUCGUGUCUCCUUCGAACAUUCUCUGGACGCCCCCAAUCGUGUCCCCACGAAGCGAUUCUCCAUGAAGUACGACGACGGCGACCAGAUCGCCAACUGCCGCCAUGGCCUCGUGCUCAUCUUCCCCCGCGAGCGGGACCAGGUCCUGGUGUGGGACCCUGUCACGGGCGACCAGCACCGCAUUGCCGUUCCCUCGUGGCUUGA